CCCCCCCAUGUAAUCUUAUUGCUUCUGAUCUGAAAGGCUAAACUGAUCCUUCAGCAGGUCUAAACUGAUCCUACAGCAGAUCAGCAGGUCUAAACUGAUCCUACAGCAGAUCAGCAGGUCUAAACUGAUCCUACAGCAGAUCAGCAGGUCUAAACUGAUCCUACAGCAGAUCAGCAGGUCGACUAUGAGAUGCUUUAUAAAUAGACGGGCCUAGAUUGUCUUUGUAAAUUAACCUUUAAGUGUUUCAUCGAUAUCAGACCUGUGAUGUUUUGUAUCCAGUUCGUGUUUCUGUCUCCUGCUGUGUUAGUCGUCAGUCUGGCAGGGCAGUCUGGCAGGGCAGCCGUGUCGUUCCCCCUGUUUUUAGAUGAGUCGGUAGUACAAUACAAUACAACAGUGUUUGCAUAUCAACAACUUACUUUUCAUAAACUCCCCUCAAACAAAAGCAAAUUCCUCCGGAGAAUGAAAGCAGCAUAUUAGGAUAACAUUGAGUUAGCAUUUUUUUUUUUUUUUUGUAAACAUUAAGUUAUGAGCUGUUUCAAAAUGAAGUUGUGAUUCAAACUGAAAAUAUGUCAAAAGUGGUGUGUUUGUUUUGAUGGUCCAGAUGAAAAUAUUUGGCCUAAAAACACGUAUAUAAAUAUUGACCUGAUGAUGAGACUGUUUUUAUAUGAAUGAUGUGCUUUACAUACUGAUUAGUGCUGCUACGCUAAAUGUUUCUUUUCUUUUAUUUGUAAUCAUCACACUGACCUCAAGGGUUGGUCUGAUCUAGUUGGCUUUAGGACGGGUGUUUAUGGGUUGGACAUACAGGGGGUCGGUUUCCCAGACCCAGGUUAAGCUUAUUCCUGGACUGAAAAACACUUCUAAUAAAAUAAAAAAAUCUCAAUUGAGAAUGCUUUUUAUUUUUAUUUAGAAGUGGCUUUAACCUUUGUCUGAGUAAACAGACCCAAACUGUAGCAUCCUGUUUAGUCCUGACUUCUAUUUUAGUCAAAUAUUCCCAUUGACAUCAAUGCAAGCGGAUGACGAUCCUCCCUUUCAAAUAUUCCCAUUGACAUCAAUGCAAACUGAUGACGAUCCUCCCUUUUCAAAUAUUCCCAUUGACAUCAAUGCAAACUGAUGACGAUCCUCCCUUUUCAAAUAUUCCCAUUGACAUCAAUGCAAAUGGAUGACGAUCCUCCCUUUUCAAAUAUUCCUAUUGACAUCAAUGCAAGCGGAUGACGAUCCUCCCUUUCAAAUAUUCCCAUUGACAUCAAUGCAAACGGAUGACGAUCCUCCCUUUUCAAAUAUUCCCAUUGACAUCAAUGCAAGCGGAUGACGAUCCUCCCUUUCAAAUAUUCCCAUUGACAUCAAUGCAAACGGAUGACGAUCCUCCCUUUUCAAAUAUUCCCAUUGACAUCAAUGCAAACUGAUGACGAUCCUCCAUUUUCAAAGAAGACGCCCUUGAGGAACAGAUGAUUGAAUAUGUACAUGUACCUCAUUGUUGUUGAUGAAUUAGCUGAUUUUUCUAGGUGGUGAGUAAGACCUGUGGAAACAAAAAUCCUUUAGAGAUCUCAAAGGAAGUUAGUUUAAACUCGGCUGCAAUAAUUUAGUGACAAAAUGAAACGACUCACCUCACUUGUCAUGGUUUUAAAAUGUUUUUCUCUGACCUGUGUCAUAUAUAUGGAGCUGUACAGCUUUAACAUAACAGUGGAGAACUCCCAGCCAAUAGUAUCAGCCUCUCAGGGUUGAAGGUCACUGAUAUGCAAAUGAGCUGUAUGUUCCUGUUUAGAAUUGUGCCUGCGUGCACCCUGUUGUUUCACCAUGCUUCUGUAUUGAUAUCAAUUUAAAAGUAGUAGCACGUCAUUCUCCAUUGUUGUCAAGUUCAUUCUACCGCGCCAUCAAGAGCACAACAACCUGUAUGUACAUAGGUGGUGACAAACUGUUCCCUCUGAUUGUUUUGACAUGUGUAUAUAAUAUUGUUUCUAAAUCACUAUUUAACCCUCUAUGAUGUUACAUCUCCUAGUUUCCAUUGUACAUAGGAAAAUAAAACUGUUAAACAAAA